rnacentral:rRNA from 1 species
AGAGUUAAAUAGUACGUGAAAUUGUUGAAAGGGAAACGAUUGAAGUCAGUAGGACCAUGGAGAGUUCAGCGAUACCUAUCGAGUAUUGCUGCGACGAGAGUGCUUAAUUGUACCUCUAGCAGUGUGCGCAAAUAGACUAUCGUGCAUUCUUUCUAUGGUUAGUCAGUGACAAUUCGAGUUGCCGGAAAAGGACUUGGGGAAGGUGGCCAUUGCUUCGGCAUUGGCUUUAUAGACCCUCGUAGAUACGGCAGUUUGGAUUGGAAUCGGCAACAGCUAAUCGGAGCGUCAUAUCUGCAGUUGUGGACACUUGAGAAUCAGUAGAGUCUCAGGUGGCAUCUAUCUGGGAAACGAUGUUCAGAAUGCUGCGGUGACUACUGACGAAAUGGCUUUAAACGACC